GUCCGGAUUCACUGGGUGUAAAGGGCGUGUAGGCGGGGUGGUGUGUCGGAAGUGAAAUCGUACGGCUUAACCGUAGCAAUUGCUUCCGAAACUACUACUCUUGAGUACGGAAGGGGCAGAUGGAAUUCCAGGUGUAGCGGUGGAAUGCGUAGAUAUCUGGAAGAACACCGGUGGCGAAGGCGGUCUGCUGGUCCGAUACUGACGUUGAGGCGCGAAAGUGUGGGAAGCAAACAGGAUUAGAUACCCCUGGUAGUCCACACCGUAAACGAUGGUCACUGGAUGUCGGGGGAUUCGACCCCCUCGGUAUCGACGCUAACGCAUUAAGUGACCCACCUGGGGAGUACGCUCGCAAGGGUGAAACUCAAAGGAAUUGACGGGGGCCCGCACAAGCGGAGGAACAUGUGGUUUAAUUCGAUGAUACGCGAGGAACCUUACCCGGGCUUGAAAUGCAGAUGACAGGCGAAGAGAUUCGCUCUUCCUUCGGGACAUCUGUGUAGGUGCUGCAUGGUUGUCGUCAGCUCGUGCCGUGAGGUGUCGGCUUAAGUGCCAUAACGAGCGCAACCCUCACUGUUAGUUGCCAUCAGGUGAUGCUGGGGACUCUAACAAGACUGCCAUCGUAAGAUGAGAGGAAGGUGGGGAUGACGUCAAAUCAGCACGGCCCUUACGUCCGGGGCGACACACGUGUUACAAUGGUCGGUACAACGGGCAGCCACCUGGCGACAGGGCGCUAAUCCCGAAAGCCGAUCGUAGUUCGGAUCGGAGUCUACAACUCGACUCCGUGAAGCUGGAUUCGCUAGUAAUCGCGCAUCAG
rnacentral:rRNA from 1 species